rnacentral:lncRNA from 1 species
CAAACAACAAUUAUCGAAUGAGUUAAAUGAUAAAGGCAUUAAGCGCAUAUGAGAACCCAACAAUUAACAAUCAAACAUAUGGAAACCAUAUAAAUAAUCAAGAGUUUCAAUAAAAGAGAGUAUCAAAAGAUUACAUUGUUUCCCCCAACAACAAUAGAGUUUAGUUCACCAUUGACAUGGUGAAACUAGAUGAAAAAUGGAAGAAGAAUGGAAAAGCAAACCCUAGAAAAGAUGAAAAGGAGCCUAAGCAUCCAAGAGAUCCUCUCUAGAGAGCAAAAUUAGGUAUGGC